UCUAUACUUCACCUUUGUUCUGGAGUUUUGUAUACGUUUUCAAAAAUAAAGCUCAGAGUUCCCGGCUAUGAUUUUCUCAAGUCUCUCUAUAUGUGGUAUUUGUGGAUCCUUAGCAAAAAUGUCACUUACCCAUAGCUAAUGGAAUAUUCAAGUGGAGCCCGUAGGAGUGAAAAAAUAGCUCGAGCCAUGGAUCCAAAGGAACUCAACAUAUAAUUAAAUCAAGAUGUGCAUGUGUGGUGGAGUAAAUGAUAGUAAUGGUGGAAAUAUAAGUAAUGAUAAAACUUACUUCUCAUUGCUCCUCAUGUUGCUAUUUCUCCUCCUUUCUUGAUCUUUGCUUUGGGAGAACAUGGGCUAUCUCUUUUUUUUAGGUGGGUAGUAAAUACCUCUAAUUCUACUGUCGGACACUUGUCCAUUUUGUUCUCCUAGGUGGGCAUCUUUGUGCCCCUAAUUCUACUCCAGACACUUGUCCAUUUUUACCUCUCGUCUCACUCUUUUUUUCUUUAUUUUUUGAGGUUCCGGGCACUUGCCCCUUUUUUUCUCGCAUAUUUUUGCAUAACCCAUGCCUCUUCUGCAUUGAAUCUUUUUGGAGAGAGAGAAUAACAACACUUGAGACAGUGAGUGAUAACAAUAUUUUAGUAGAUUUUUGAUGAAUGGUGAUGGAUGGUAUAAUAGAUGUGUGCAAGUGAGUAUCUUGGUUUAACCAAAUGAAAAGCUCCUAAGGGUCUACACAGCUCAACCAAACUCAAUGUGAAUAUAAGUAGCAAAAGAUAUAGAAAUUGUAGCAAGUAUGGCUGUGGUAGGGAUUUUCAUCAUGCUAGGAACUCAUCAUGUGAUUUGCAAAUUUUCAAAAUAAAUCUCCAGAACUUAGUGUAGUAGAACAAGAUAAACAACAGCUCAAACUUUAUAUCAUGUCCUUCUCUUACCUAGACUUUAGUUUUAGGUUCAUGCUUCCUAUAGAUAGUAAAUUUCAGUUUUAGUAAUUCCUCGGAGAACUCUAAUAUAAAAGCUAGGUACUUGAAAGUAAGCAAACAGAGAAACUGUUCAUCAUUUCCAUCAUGCAUCUUUUUGGUCUUUUAUUUUUCUAGAGAUUAUCACUUAGCAGGGAAAAUAAAGCACACUUAUCUACACACUCUUUUUAUUUUUUUUUCAUGUUUAUAGAAUGCAGUAAAUUAAAGUAAGAAAAUAUUUAUUGGGUUUUCUAAGUUUUUUUCUCUUUUAAGAUAAAUAAAACACUAAAACAAAAAAGAAUAAAUAAGAAGAGAAAAUAAAACUUACUUGAUAAAACGGGGAGGAACUCCCCCAAGCUAGAUGUGGUUGUCAGUCUUAUCCAAUGUUCCGAAAUUGCAUCAUGGUGGUGAUGUUGUCGUUCAUCGUCGUGGUGUCUUGCCUCAGUUCUUGUACUGCAGCGACAUGGUCCAGGUUCUAAUUUUGUUGCUGUUCCAGGAGUCAUCCAUGUUCUGCUUGCGUAUUCUUGAUGUCGAGGAGGGUGUUGUUGGUACGGGUGAAGAAGGCGCCGGCCUCUUGGUAGUAGUCGUUCGUGAAAGCAUAAGAGGCGUCGGAGUACCGUCCUGCAUCGAAUUGGGGCUGGGGUCUAGACCCUGAAGCUCCAUAUGGAUCAGUGGAGUACCUGCUUGUACGGAAAGG
rnacentral:lncRNA from 1 species